UGUGUUUGUCGUGGGUUCGUUCCAAAUGAGGUUCAGCCUCUCUUCACUUGAAGGACCCAGUAAACAGCCUGCAUGAGCAGGAUUUCUUGGGUCAGGUUCAGUGUCAGUACUGAACUGCUGCGUGGGAGUUAUAUUUCGUGUUCUGAGGGAGACACAGCUACAAGGUAUUUCAUGGGGUUGGGCCUCCUUAAAAAUUCCCCCUUUUUUUGGCAUUACUCUUAAAAAUUGGGGCCUAAUCCCUCCCAGUGGCAGUUUAUUGGGAUCCAUACUAGUGUGGGGUCCUCCAGUUGGAGAGAUCCAUUGUAGGGACGCUCUUCUUUGCCUACUUUUUGUCCUUGUUUUACCUGUCUUUGGCUCUCUGUAUUGAUUGCUGGGGCUCUCUGCCACUGAUCAUUCCAUUUUCGAUCGCUGGAACAUGGGAGUGCGUUCCAGCUGGCGGAAGUGACAUCUUGGCCAUAUUCCUCUGGACCGGAAGUGAUGCGGGGUUCGCGCGGGUAUGACAUGAGCACAUGGAGCACAUAGCUUGCGUUCCAGCGUUCUGCGCAUGCGCGCAACUACCAUUUCCCCCGGCACUAUUUAAAUCUGAGUGAUCUGAGUCUCUGUGUGCAUGCUGCAUAUGCUGAUAGUGAUCCUGAGCGCACUGCUUCACCUGCUUUGGUUCAGUGCAUUGAAGUUGGAAUUUUUCCUUUCCUUGGCUGCCUAAAUUGUGUCUCAUUGUCAAAAGGUGGGCCUUUUCUCCUUGUGAUUUUUAAACUUUACUUGACAUUCAGUUUUGCUUCUGAAUUUUGAUGGGAUGUGUUUU